rnacentral:rRNA from 1 species
UACGUAGGGUGCGAGCGUUGUCCGGAAUUAUUGGGCGUAAAGAGCUCGUAGGCGGUUUGUCGCGUCGGCCGUGAAAACUUGGGGCUUAACCCCAAGCCUGCGGUCGAUACGGGCAGACUUGAGUUCGGCAGGGGAGACUGGAAUUCCUGGUGUAGCGGUGAAAUGCGCAGAUAUCAGGAGGAACACCGGUGGCGAAGGCGGGUCUCUGGGCCGAUACUGACGCUGAGGCGCGAAAGCCAGGGGAGCGAACGGG